rnacentral:lncRNA from 1 species
GAUCAGGGACUCGUGAAUGAGCAGGAUGCACGGAGGCGCUGCUUCUCGAGUCCAACAAAGGACACAGCAGCAUCUGUUGGUCGGAUUUUAGGUAUGUUGUUGAUGAGAAUCCUCGCCCUAUUUAUUUUAUUGUUUCAGUAAUUUACUCGUUCCAAACUAAUUUUUCCCUAUUGCCAGCAGAUGGGAGAUGAGGAUUUGAGCCUGAUCUGAUUUCUCAUAUUUCUUUCAUGAGAAUGUUUCUAGUCUUCCAAGUAGAUUAUAUCAAACUUUCCCCAAUGCCUGCGCUAGAUCUGGCCACCUAGGCUGCAGAUGAGCAUGCAACUGCAAGUUGUGAUUACCCCCAAUUUUUUUGCUGCUGCCUUUUUAUUCGUUGGUGAGUCCUAACUUCUCAGUGAGAUUUUCAAUUUCUUCACCCUUGCAGAUUGAAAUCGAUUAGUUCCAGCAUACACUGGUAGAGAAUUGGCCUUUAGUCCCGGUUGGUAGGGUGCAUAUCUCUCAAAAAUCCAUCCGGGAUAAACCAACCGGGACAAAAGGGGGUCUUUAGUCCCGGGUCUUUUAACCGGGAGUAAAGGUCCCCCUUUAGUCCCGGUUGGUAAAAGCGACCGGGACUAAAGGGUGCCCCUUUAGUCCCGGUUGGGUUUCCCAACCGGAACUAAAUGGUUACCCUUUAGUCCCGGCUAGAUUCCAACCGGGACUAAAUGGCACCUGCAUGGCACUGCCUGGCGCCUGAAUUUUUCAUGCAUGCAUCACGUACGUAGUACCGCGGCCCUUUUGUUAACCUUUAGUAGUUGAGAUUUUUUUAGAACGAAAUCAACUAAUAUUUAAACGAAUGGGUUACUAUAUAUAUACACAAUUCUUAUACACAAUUCAACUAGCUUAGUACAAAUCGAUCAUAAUUAGCGCGUAUUAUAUAUACAAAUAAAUCAAAGUAUCUGUCUACAAUCUUCCCGUCGUGGUGUUGCUGAUCGGAGUGUCUAAUUGUCGUCCAUCGUAAUAAAAUUCUCCUUUUGGAUCUACCACCUCGUCCAUUAUGAAUCCAAUGAGACCUUCACAUAUUGCCGCUACUCUUUCUUCCUUCAAGAGUCCUUGUUGAAUAUUUAACAUCUAUAAUUUGGAAAUUUGUGAAUGUUACACGAACAAAUACAUAUAAGGAGCUAAAAAAUAAUUAACUAGUAAUAGUUUUAUUUUACGUAGUUUAAAGUUGUGCGGCGUCAUCUUCAGUCCCUUGGGUCCCAUAAAACUGUGCAUGUGCUCACAGAUGUAGUAGCCACAUAGAUUAUUCCCGGGUUCCUAUCUUAAGCACUUCAGUGCGGAAAAAAAUAAGUUAUGAAAUAUUCGUGUUAUACAAUGUAAUAAAUGUGCAGACUUCAUACGUACCGGGAAGUCUGUGUUCCAUGUAAGUUUUUCUUUGAAUGGACCUUUGUGUGUCCUUAUGAAUUGUUUCCAUGCGCUGCGGAUUAGAAUAAUGAAUGAUAUAGUGUAACAGGGAUAAAAUUUAGGAAAUAAACUUUUGCAUAGAGAUAAAGGUCUAGAAUUAUUACAAGCCUAGCAUGUCUUGCACUUCUUGGUACUCCACCGGAUCUUUCCUCGACGAAUCAAAGACAGUGACGUGACUUCUUUCAGGCUCAAUUAUAAUAAGGAUCCAGUGGAAGCUGCGUGCGUAAAAUGUUCAUGCAUAUUAGAGCUAACUAACAUGUAGAGAUAAGGAAAAAGACAUCGAAGUAGACGGUAUACACACACUUACUUGAAGUUGUAUGGAAGUAGUAUGAAAUCCUUGAAUGUUUGUUUGUGUAGGAAAUUGUAUACUUCCGCAAAGGUUUUUUCCGGCGCUAAUUGUAUCUGUUGUUGGUUAACUACAGAUGGAUCCAUGAAGCCUACAUGUAGGUACGCCUCUCGGCGGCAUGUCUGAAUUAGCAUCCUACAUGAAAUGGAAGACGAAGUUAGUACGGUGACGCACGCCAAAAUUUACAUGUAGAGAUAAACGGACACUUACAGAACCCAAGCACUGAUCAGAGAGACGUCCAGGGCAUCAUGAUGGUACACUUCGUAUAUAUUCUUGAAGUCUAGCCACAACACUUUCUCCCCUUCGCCCUGAAAAUCUAUCGGUUUUACCUUCAGGCCGAUCAUCUCCCUCGAGUCGGCGGAUGCCAUCAUGUACCAUUGAUGGAAUGCGUACAUCUUUGUUGAUAGCUUCCGUACCAAUGAAGGCUUUACUAGAGGUUUGCCUAGCUCAUAAGGCCAUCUCGGCUCAGGAGGCGGUGCAGUUGGCGUCUCAACUUGCCCUAUGCAUUCAUCAAGUCCCAAACAUGUUUCUUCCAUGAACUUCAAUACAUUUGCUUGUUGAUCCAAGGGCAUUGCUUUUACCCGUUGAGCAUCUUUUUUUGAUAAAUGGCUGAGGUUGGGGACAGGACCGCUGGAAGAUGACUUUCCUUUUCUUUUAUCCUUUUCAUCAGCCUUUACUAAAGCCCGUUCAUAGUUUGAUAAGAGUGGUAUCCUUUUCUUGGCUCCUUCUUCCAUCCUGAUAAAAAAGUUUAAAUCUCGCCGACUUACUGGCGGUGGCUCCAUCUCCCUUGCUUUUUUUUCUUCAGCUUGUUUCUUGAACCACUCACUGGCCUCUCGUUGGAUUUCUGCCCACUGUUCCGCAUGAGACAUUGCCUCCCAGCGUUCCUUACGAGUCACUUCAGGCUCCUUUGUUUUCUUCUUUCUCUGUCUUUGCUUGGGAGGCGAUGCUCGUGACUUCUUUAGUGGUGGUGCAGGUUUCUUCAAGGGGGCCGCUCUUGGUUCCAGCGACGGUGAUCGGGGAGGGGUGUUGUUAUUGUCGUCAUCGCUCCCAGCACCAGGAUGUGGUGGAGAUGGAGACCUUGAUAUAGAUGGAAGGGACGGUCCUGGAGCAGGAGAUGACGGUCUCGAGGUAUGAGGAGAAGGUCGCUGCUGGGGAUCUACGGGGAGCGGUCUUGAGCUCUGAGGAGAUGGCUCCGUGCCGGGAAUAAUGAUGUAGCGUUUUCGCCAUAGAAUGAUCCCAUGAAGCGCAUCUGCCAAUGUCUUUUCCCCGUCGCCUCCCGGGAGGUCGAGCUCUAGACCUUCAUACUGGCUAUCAACUAUUUGCUCUACGCGGACGCUAGCGUAGCCUGGUGGAAUUUCCAUGCCAUGACUGCUCUGCCCCGCCAGGGUUGCUAACGCACUCCCGUACGCUACCUGUACAUAUAGCAGAAGUAAACAAGUUGAACUCCGAUCUCGAGGCCUGGAUCAAUUAACAAGAUUGCAUAAAUAUUAUGUAUAAGUAUACCUUAAUAGUGAGGUUGCCGACCGGUGCAUGCAGCUCACAUGAGGUCCGUUGUGUGAUGGCAUCCACGGGGAACCGUUGCUCCUCCAUGGGUAACCUGGGCGUCUGCGCAUCGGGGACCCCUGUAGAAGCACAACUGCUCAAGAGGCGUUGAGAAGGGCUGGCGGUGUUAGGAUUCGGCAAUGCUCCAGAUUGGGCCAACUCCGCAACUGCGUGGGCCACCCGCCGAUUGAUUUCAUCCAUCAUUCUUUGUUCUUGUGCCUGCACUUUAGAUUCUAGCAUCUGCCGCCAGCUCUCCUCGAUCUGUUCCUUUCUUCGCUUCCGGCUUCUGUACGAGGCGCUGUUGCCUCGGAAAGCAAACUUCCACGAAACCACCCCGAACCCUCGGCAACGUCCUGGGUGCUCCGGAUUACCGAGGGCCAAUGUGAGCUCAUCAUUUUCUCGGUCCACCUUCAACCUCCCAGCCUUACAAUCUUCAAUGUUCUUCACAAGAUGUUCGGCCUUCUCACGUAUUGUGUCAUUAAAAAUCAACGUCCCAUCUUCUUGGCUUAGGGAGCCUCCAUGAGCGUAGUACCAAUUUUUUGAUCGUUCGGGCUCAUUCAAUAGUUGCAAGUACGAUUCCCCGUUCGAUCAGAUCUUGUUCCAUAUUCCUCCACUUGGGAAUUGCUGAGCCAUACCCACCUCGUCCCAGAUGAUGGUGGUAGCCCUUCUGACUAGCAUUUGUUGUGUUGGUCGUGAUCUUUUUCACACCGUCUUCACUCCUCUUAUAUUCAACAAAUGCAUCCCAGUGGUCCCUCAACUUUGGCCACGCGUUGAAGUCUGGAGUUCGGCCCUUCUUAAUGUAGUGGGUAUCCAGCAUCUUCUUGAAUGUCUGGAAUUGUGUAGCCAUCUUCUUAAGCGUCCACGCUUUGACAUCCUUCUCACUAUAUCCUUCGGGGAAUGUGAAAUGUCUCUUCACGUCUUCCCACAGCAUAUUCUUUUCUGUCUCUGGGAGGGCAUACGGAUUAGUGCUUCUGCCCUUCCAUUCUCUGAUGCUGAUAGGCACGUUGUCCCGAACGAUUGCCCCGAUCUUACUCACGUACUUCUUUGCUACUUUCUCGGGAGCAACCGGCCUGCCCUCUUCUGUCACUUCCGUGAUGACAAGCCUCCCUUCCAUCACCUUUGUACGACCUCGGGUCUUCUGCCCUUGCGUCGAUCCGGAGGGCUAACAGUUCAAGAUUCGUUAAUUAGUACGUAGUAGUAACGGUGGCGUGAAACAAUACAAGAAUCGUUAUAUAUACCUCGCCGGAACCUUCCGCCACGGCAAGGUGUUGCUGCGGCUGUUGCUCUUCAUUCCCAUCGGCGGACAUGUUGAGGAACAUGUCCGCCUGGGUGCCCUCUUCAUCCGUGUACGAUAGUGGAACGUUGUCGCCACUACCAUCACCAGCGAUUACUGCUCCAUGAUAUACCUUGCGGUCUCAUCGUCUGCCAUUUCAACUAUUGAUUGAAACAUACAUGGAAUCAUACAUGACAGUCAUAGAAAUCGUCUUACUACAAAUUUCUACAAAGUCCUACAAAGUCCGGAAUCAUACAUGUAUAUAAUGAAAUCAUAAAAUAACAUGAAUCCUACAAAGUCCGGAAUAUUUAUACAAAUUUCUACAAAUUUCUACGAAUUUCUACAAAUUUCUACGAAUUUCUACAAAUUUCUACAAAUUUCUACGAAUUUCUAGCAAUAACCACAUGCGGUGCCUAGGUUUUGACGGCGGCGGUCAGGGCGGCGGUACGGCGGAGGCGGGGACGGUUCCCCAGAACCAAGGGCGGUGCCUAGGUUGUGACGGCGGCGGUCAGGGCGGCGGUACGGCGGAGGCGGGGACGGUUCCCCGGAACCACGGGCGGUGCCUAGGUUGUGACGGCGGCGGUACGGCAGAGGCGGGGACGGUUCCCCGGAACCACGGGGCGGUGCCUAGGUUGUGACGGCGGCGGGACGGCGGAGGCGGGGACGGUUCCCCGGAACCACGGGCGGUGCCUACUAGGUUGUGACGACGGCGGUCACGGCGGCGGGACGGCGGAGGGGACACAUAUACAAAAAUCUAACUUAAAAAAAUCUAACUUAAAAAAAAUCUAACUUAAAAAUCUAACUUAAAAAUAUAACUUAAAAAUCUAACUUAACAAUCUAACUUAAAAAUAUAACUUAAUUUUCUAACUUAACAAUCUAACUUAAAAAUCUAUCAUAAAAAUAUAACUUAAUUUUCUAACUUAAAAAAAAAGACCCUCCCGGCGCCAGUGCCGGCCGGCGUGGCGGACCUCUCGCGCGCGGUCGUCGACGGUGGCCGGGGCGACGAGGUGGCCGAGACGGUGGGACGGCGGCGGCCGGGCGGCGGGACGGCGGCGGCCGGUGCGGCGAGGACGGCGGCCGAGGCGACGACGACAGAGCCAAGGCACGCGGGACGGUGGGACGGCGUAGGCGGGACGGCGACGAGGCAGCGACGAGGGGCGACGAGGGGUGACAAGGCGGUGACAAGGAUGGAGGCGGUGACGAGGCGGCCGAUGGUGACGAGGAGGGGGCCGGGCGCGACGGACGAGGAGGAUCGAGGCGGGCCGGCCGGGGCGAUGGAGGAGGAGGAUGUCUGGGCGCGGUCGGCGGCGGGACGACGACAGCCGGCGCAAUGGGGGACGACGACGGCGGCGGCCGGCGAGGGAGGCGGACGGGUGGCGACGGCGGAGCAGAACGCGCGGGACUUGGCGAAAAUUUUGCUAAGUGUAACUGGCGUGGGGGUAGAAGGGAGUAUAGUGCCUUUUAACCCCCCCUAUCCCGGUUCGUAAUGGCACCCGGGACAAAAGGGUGCAUCCGCCAGGUGGGGCUGGGAGCGUACCCUUUUAUCCCGGGUGCCACCACCAACCGGGACAAAAGGGGGGGCCUUUUAUCCCGGUUGCAGUUGGCAACCGGGAUAAAAGGGUACGUCCGGGCGGGAGACGAAAAGUACCCUUUUAUCCCGGUUGCCGUUUGCAACCGGGAUAAAAGGGGGGCCUUUUGUCCCGGUUGCUGUUGGCACCCGAGACAAAAGGUCUUUUUUCCUAGUUUUGUUCUCCCACCUAUUUUUUGGAAAUGGAUUUUAUUUUAUCUUUUCACUACAUUUCAGGAUGAAAAACAAAACCUUCACAUAUUUUGUGCCUGCAAAAAUAUAUUUAAUUAACGAGUAAAUUGACAAUAAGUAUGAAUUAAUCAUUAAUUCUAUACCAGUUCAUUUAGCCUCUAAAAUAUUUAUUUUACUGCAUCGCUGUGAUCAAGAAAUUAUUCAAUUAAAUAAUUUCAAUGCGCAGAAAAAUCCAUGUUUGUAUGUGGUUAACAUUGUUCAUGUUUAUCUAAAAAAUCUUCACCUAACAAAUUUAAGAACACAUGAAAUCAUACAUAGGGUAAAUUAAAAAUUGUAUCAAUUAAUACACAAAGGUCAUGUACAUUUAACGCAUUACAAUACAACGUUGUAAAAUUUCUUCUUCACGAAAGUUCCUUGAUCAUGAUCGCAGCGUAAGUACGGAGCCUCUUCUUUGGAUAGCAGGAUGCUUGGAUCAACUUCAACGGCGAAUGGAGGCAUGCUAUCAAACUGAUCAUAAUCAUCUGAUUGGUCUGUUUUAUCCUCGACUCCCACGAUUUUUCUUUUACCUAGAAGAACUAUGUGGCACUUUGGCUCCCAUGUCUCUUCUAGAUUCCUCUUGGGUUUGCUACACAUGUCCUUCACAUAGAACACCUGAUGCACAUCAUUGGCAAGUACGAAUGGGUCAUCACUGUAUCCAGUCUUGCUCAGAUCUACUAUUGUCAUUCCGUACUGAUCUUGGGUUACGGCAGUUAGCUUCGCCCAAUUGCAAAGAAAUAGAGGUCUGUAUUCGAGUUCCCAUAUCUCCUGUAUGAAACCAUAAUACGACUCCUUGCUAUUAUUUCUGUCCAUGGCAUCUAUGCACACACCACUAUUCUGGUUCGUGCUUUUCUGGUCCUGGGCUCUCGUGUAAAAUGUGUAACCAUUUAUCUCAUAGCCUUGGAAUUUGACGAUUGUGCUAGCAGGUCCCUUGGCUAACCAGGCAAGCUGUGGGUGAAUCUCAGAGUUACUCAUAAGUUGUUGGCGCAACCAGGAGCGAAAAGUUUCCAUGUGAUGACGAGUAAGCCAAGCAUCGGAUUUGGUCGGGUUUUUGGAAGCUACCAUCUGCCUGUGCUGCUCGAUAUACGGAGACAUAAAGGAUGACUGUUGUAGAACAGUGUAGUGUGCCUUGUCGAACAAAACUCGAUCAUCUCCUCUGUUCCAUAUCCCUUGGCGAUGCUUCCUUCUGGACGGGCACGAUUAAGAACAUAGUUUUUUAGGACUGCCAUGAACCUCUCGAAAGGCCACAUAUUGUGCAGGUAUACCGGUCCGAGAAUACCAAUCUCUUUUAUUAGGUGAACCAGUAAGUGCAUCAUAAUAUUGAAGAAGGAUGGUGGAAAUAACAACUCAAAACUGACAAGACAUUGCACCACAUCGUUUUGUAGCUCUGAUAGCUUUGAUGGAUUGAUUGACUUCUGCGAAAUCGCAUUGAGAAACGCGCAUAGCUUUACGAGCGGCAAACGGACAUUUUCUGGUAGAACACCCCUCAGUGCAACCGGAAGCAACUGGGUCAUCAACAUGUGGCAGUCAUGAGCCUUUAGAUUUGUAAACUUCUUUUGUUUCAUAUUUAUUAUUCCCUUUAUAUUCGAGGAGUACCCAGACGGGACCUUCAUACUAUUCAAGCAUUCAAACAUGCUAUCCUUCUCUUCCUUGCUGAGAGUGUAACUGGCAGGAUGUAAGUAGUGCUAUCCAUUAUCUCUCUUUUCCGGAUGUAGGUCAUCUCAUUGCCCCAUGGCUUUCAAGUCCUGUCGUGCUUCCAAUGUAUCUUUUGAGGUUCCAUAAACACCCAUGAAGCCUAGCAUGUUCACGCAGACAUUCUUCGUCAGGUGCAUCACGUCUAUUGCAUUGCGAACCUCUAGGAUUUCCCAAUAAGGUAGCUCCCAAAAUAUUGACUUUUUCUUCCACAUGGGUGCAUGUCCGUUAUCGUUGGUCGGAACAGGUUGGCUACCAAGUCCCUUUCCAAAGACUACAUUUAUAUCCUUCAUCAUCUCGAACACACGCUUUCCAUUACGGUGUGCAGGUUUUUUACGAUGGUCUGGCGCCCCUUUGAAAUGCAUCCCGCUCUUUCUCAGCUGGUGGUGAGCAGGGAGAAAUCGACGAUGACCCAUAUAGACGACCUUCUUACAAUGCUUCAACUACAUGCUGUCUGUGUCGUCUAAACAGUGGGUGCAUGCCCGAUAUCCCUUAUUUGUCUGUCCUGAAAGGUUACUCAAUGCAGGCCAAUCGUUGAUGGUUACGAACAACAAUGCUCGUAGAUUAAAGAUCUCUUGUCUAUCCUCAUCCCACACACGUACACCUUCUUCCUUCCACAGCUGUAAAAGGUCAUCGACCAACGGCCUUAGGUACACGUCAAUGUCGUUGCUGGGUUGUUUUGGGCCUUGGAUAAGCGCCGGCAUCAUAAUGAACUUCCGCUUCAUGCACAGCCAAGGAGGAAGGUUGAAUAUACAAAGGGUCACAGGCCAAGUACUAUGGCCACUACUCAACUCACCGAAUGGAUUGAAUCCAUCAGUGCUUAAACCAAACCUUAUGUUCCUUGCUUCACUUUCAAAGUCUGGGAAUGUUCUAUCAAUUGAUCUCCACUCUGCCCCAUCUGCGGGGUGUCUCAGCAUCUCAUCUUCCUUACGGUCUUCUUUGUGCUAUCGCAUCAACUUAGCAUUCGCCUUGUUCCUGAACAAGCGCUUCAAGCGUGGUAUUAUAGGGAAAUACCACAUCACCUUCGUGGGAACUCUCUUCUUGGGAGACUGCCCCUCGACAUCACCAGGAUCAUCUCGCCUGAUCUUAUACUGCAGGGCUUCGCAGACGGGACAAGCAUCCAAUUUCUCGUAUUCAUCACCAUGAUAGAGGAUACAGUCAUUAGGGCAUGCGUGUAUCUUCUGAACAUCCAAUCCGAGAGGGCAAAUAAUCUGUUUAGCUUCAUAUGUUGUGGACGGUAAUUCAUUAUUCUCGGGGAGAAUCUUCUUGACAAUGUUCAACAUCCCCUGAAAUGCCUUAUCGGACACACCAUUUUUUGCCUUCCAUUGCACAAAUUCUAGUGUCGUACCUAGUUUUUUAUGGCCCUGCUGGCAACCUGGGUACAACAAUUUUUGGUAAUCAUCUAUCAUGCGCUACAACUUUGCUGCUUCCUUCUCAGUUUCGCAAUCUCUGUAUACAUCUCGUAUCACCUGACCAAGGUCAUCAGUAGGGCCAUUUUCUGCAAACCCAUCUUCAUCAGCCUCGCCCAUUGUAUUACCUGCAAAAGGUUGGCCUGCAACCCAGUCCGGAAUGGUGUCAUCUUCCUCCUCCUCCUCGCCAUCUUCCAUUUCGACCCCUAGUUCACGGUGCUUGGUCCAAACCAAAUAGUUAGGCAUGAAACCGUAUUUAAACAAGUGGCUGUGAAUAGUCCCCCAGGAAUCCUUUGAAUACUCCUUCUUGUUAUUGCAUUGGAAGCAUGGACAACAUACGAAUCCAUUCUCUGGCUUGUUCGCUUUGGCCACUUCGAGAAAAUAAUGCAAGCCAUCAAUAAACGCCUUGCUCCGCUUGUCUGCAUUAUACAUCCAUUGCCGAUCCAUCUGCAUCAUAUUACGCAUGAAAAUGGAUUACACUUGACAAUGGAUUACGCAUGAAAAUCGAUUAAAGAUCCAAACAACAUGGUACAAUACAACAACAUGAAGAUCCAAAUACACAUAUUUAAAUUAAAGUCCCAAACAACAUGAUACAAUACAACAAGCCAUCCACUAGUUAUUAUCAAGGGGGACUUUAAGCAUCCUUGGACGGUGAAGACGAAGGUUCCGCUGACCCAACCUCAUCCUUAGGUUUAUUUGUGCCGCCUGAAACGGUAGUACUAAGUGGACGUGAAACACCCGGGACUGAGGGUGGAGCAUAACGACCAUCAAAAGGAGGUUCCUGACCCGCGGCAACAGCUUCUUCAUGAUGUUGCUGCAAAUAACGAAGCAUUGCUUUUUCCAGCGCGCUCUUUUUCUUCGGCUUAUGCUGAGGGCCAACUAUGAUUUUCCCCUUGCCGAAAUAGGAACCACGAUCGCCCCAACCAUCGCCACUUCCUCCAGUAGCAGAAGCCAUCUAUGUACAAAAAUUAUUACCUUAACACUGCAUAAGUUGUUGAACUUGAAGACCGUGAUCAUCUCGCGAGCAUGUCCUCAACUGGGCGGCACCGCACUUCGUCAUGAAAGAGGUUAGAUGCUACAGAAAAGGGGACACGGUCACGAUGUCCGUAUCCACUCUUUCGAGUAGAAUCGAACCUCCUUCUUGACAUACGUUGCUGCUCGGCGGAGAACAUCCUCGCAGAAAUGAACACGGUAUGCAAGUUCAACAAGUAUGGAUUUAAAAAACCAUAUUGAAUUUGAUAAGAUAAACCGUCUAGACAAGGUACAAUCAUUUUUAAACCACUGCAAUAAUGCAUACUAUAUAUGACCGACUUUUUUGUAUUUUGGCUCUUUUCGUGAAAAAAUCUCACAAAUAGGCCCCUGGCGAAACCAAUUCCAAAAAUUACAAAAAUGGACCCUCAUCUUGGCGCCAGGAAGGCUGGCGCCAAGGUAUAAUGUCUUGGCGCCAGCCGUCGUGGCGCCAAGGUCCCUCCGCCGCGCCUCCACCGUGAAGAAGGGGCGGUAUAUAUGGAGGAAGGCUUGGCGCCAGGGAGGCUGGCGCCGAGCCUCGGCGCCAAGAUCUGUGGCGCCAAGGCUCGGCGCCACCGUCGCUGGCGCCAAGCCUUGGCGCCAUAGAUCUUGGCACCGAGGCUCGGCGCCAGCCUCCCUGGCGCCAAGCCUUCCUCCAUAUAUACCGCCCCUUCUUCCUGCCCGAGAGUUCCUCCUCAUUAUUCUCCACUCUCUCGGGUUUUUACUCUCCCUACUUUGCCCUAGACUACGAAUCGACAUUGUAGCUUAGGAAACUUUCAUUUGAUUCAUGGAUCCUGAAGAGCAAGGUAUCCUCUCUCCGUCGUACCUUUUUUUCACAUCGAUUCGCUAUAUAUUUCUUGCAUUUUUGAACUUAGGGUUUCAUGCAAAUGUAGGGUGCCGAGGCGUGGAAAAGCUAAGAAACUAAGGUAAUCUCAACGCACGUAGUUAUGUUAUAUACUCAUUGUUGUGGAUCAAAUGAAAAAACUUUAAUUGUAGGUUUAUUCUUAAGUGCGUUUGAUUCAUAGAACAAAAUAAACAAAAUUGUAGUUAUGGCGCAAAGAAGACCGGAAAUGCGUUCGAUCCAUUGGCUCUGCCUAGUGGUGUUCCAGUGCCGAUGUGCUUUUGCGGCGAUCCUUGCAAGGUAGCCAAGUCCGAAGAACAUGCCACGUAUAGGCAGAGGUAUUGGAUGUGUUCCAACUUUGCAUUUGAACCUACACUUCGUCAGCGCCGCAUUAACAUGUUGGUAAGGAAAUGUUAUUGUCUUAUAAUUGUUGUCCAUAAUUUUUUUGUUUUAUAACAAUUGCAUUUGUUGUAGACCCCUCCACUGCUAUGUGAUUUUGAGCAGUGGAUCGACACUGAGAUCAAUCCUGAAGACAAGGAGUUUUUGGAGUAUAUGAUGCGCUGGGAUGCAGAGAGGAAGGAGGUGUACGAGAAGAGGCUCAUAGAGGAGGCUGCGGAAAAGGAGCACAAGGAAGAGGAGGAAAGGAGGCGGGUUGCUGCGAAUAGGGAGGAGAGAGAGAAGAAGCUUGAGCGGGCACGCCGAGCGAAAGCAACGGUUGAGGAGAAUCCCGAUGCCUUAAGGAAGGGAAAGUGGCCUCGUUGCACUCAGUAGCCAUAUUUAGGUUCUAGUUCUAUGGUUUAUUUAUGAACAAUAUUUUCUACUGUGAGACUUUUAUUAUGUUGUCAUGUAAUAAUGCACUUUAAGUAUAGACACGCAAUUUGUAGACGACAUAUGUUCAUUUUGCGAUGUAAUGCAUUUCGAAGUCGUAGUCUACUGAAAUAUCCGUAGAAAAUAAAAAUGGUACUUGUUAGCAAAAUUUCGGCAGAAUUUCCCCUACUUGUUGAUGCAAUCCAUACAAAAUUGCGAGAUGAAUAGUGAAUAUAAAUACAAGCAUAGAAGCAUAGAAGCAUAUGACACAAGCAUAUGACACAUUCAGAAUAGAAUCCACAAUAGUUCAGAAUGAAAGUCCAUAUAUAUACAAAUAGUCCAUAUGAUACAAAGUUCGCAAUCAGAAUCGUCACUGCCUCCUAGUCUUACCCUUACCCUUGUGACCAAGGGCGUCGGUGCCUGGAGUGUAAGGAGAACGUGGACGACGUAGUCUAGUGCCUCCUACAACCUGUGUAGGCUGAGUCAAGGGAGCCUCCUGGAGCUGAGAUGGGCCAAGCUCCUCGGCCCUCUGCUCAUCGUCGUCGUCGUCGUCGUCGUCGUCGUCGGAUGCAAUUGAUUUCGAACCUGAGGGGCCUUGGCUAGACGUACCGACACCUCCUUCUCGUACGGAUGGAAUGUGCACGUCUCGCGUCGUGGCAGUCCUGCAACCACAACGAGCAGCGGCACGGCGAAGCCGAUUUGACAAUCGCUGUAGUAGUAAAAACAAGUUACACAAAUGAAGAAUGUAACGUAUUAAUAAAGUAUUAGAAAGAAUAAUUUGAGACUUACCUCUAGGAAGCUCCGCGUCUCGGGGUCCCUAACUCGUGGACGGAAUUGCUCUAUAUCUCUAACCGAGCUUUGUAGGGUACGCCCCUGCAACAAAUGACUAAGUCACUAAAGCAACAAAUGACUAAGUCACUAAAUGACUAAAUGAUUAAGUCAGAUGAUCACUAAAUCCUUAUCUAACUAACUAAAUCUGUAAGUAACCAAACAUAGAAUAUAGAAAACUGAAGCAAUUGUCUUACCAUCCUAUCCAGGAUUGGUCCUACCUCCACCUGCCUUCCAGCACGAGUACUCUGAUCGUACACCGUGUCUUCAUCAUCGGAUGAGUGGAUAUCGGCGUAGUCAUCUUCCGUCCACGCUGCCCUCAGCCUGUGCCGCGUCGCACCUUGGUACCAACUCUGGUAUUGCCUGUACGCACUGUUUGUGUGCGGCUCGUUGUUCUCGUCCACGUUCUCCUCGAACUGGUCCCAUUCCUGAAUGUACGCGUGGUGGAACGCGGCCCACUCAGAGACCUUCCGUUUCUUCUUUCGAUCCACGCUGCACGUCACGUUACACGUUACUGUUAGCCAAAAUUUAGUUAAUAGUAUUGAAAUAUAUGAAAUAGGAAAAGACUUACUUGUGUAACUCCAUACUAGUCGAGGUCGCCUGUGGUGGCCAAAUCUGCCUCAUCCCAAAUUGACGUGCUACACGAUGUGGCAGGUGGUACUCGACAGCAUAGAAGCAAAUAAGAGGGCACACCAUCCUAUAAAUAUCAUCGUCCGUCGCGCACAUGAAGCUAAGGGGAAAAGGAAGUGGAUCGUCUCCGUCGUAAGGCUGCCAAUUUACCUGCAAAAUUUGAAUCAAAAACGUUAGUUGUUAUACUAAAAGAUUACAAAGCAUGUUUAAAAAAAAUUCACUUACACUAUGAGCAGUGAGCGCGUCUAUCUCGUUGAUGUAAUCCAGGUACGCGCGGUCCAACCUCGUAUGGCUAACCUUAACCUGAUCCCAAAUAUAUGCCCAUGUCGGCUGUCGUCUCGGCGGCUCACCUGGGAACCACGGUCGACGCGGCAUAAUCUCGGGCCGACCAACAGGAAGACGGGACCACAUCCAUAAUUGCAACAGGUAGACACAUCCACCAACUGACGAGGAGCCCGAAGUCCGACGGCACGCCUCGCACAGCUGCCGGUAUAGAAAGCACAACACAGCUGAUCCCCAGCUGUAAAAACCAGCCUGGUGCUAGUCAGUGAGGCAGUGGAUCCACAUCCAAGACGCAGUGUCACCUGUAGCGUCUGGGAAAAGAAUGCAGGCAAAGAGGUGUAGUAUCCACGCCUUGCAGUAGUGCCCAACUGUCUCAGCAUCCGCAUCCUGGGGGCACUGGCCGAAGUGUUCCCGCAGCCAUGAGAUUAGCACUCCAGAUGUGCGAGUCCCCUGCUCCUCAACCUCUCGCCCCAGGAAGGCUGCGACUCGUGCCCUUCAACCCUCUGAGAUGCACGGCCCAGUGACUGGCUGGCCCCGAAUCGACAGACCCAGCAUCUUCUGACAGUCCUGUAGGGUCACUGUCAUCUCUCCGAACGGAAGGUGAAAGCUGUGAGUCUCGGGCCGCCACCUACAUUUCGCCGGAUUAUUAUUUGAUAACAUGUAAAGACAUAACAAAAUGAAUAUGAUUAGUGGUAAUAGUACCUGUCAACCAACGCAGUUAUAGCCGCUGAAUUGAACUUGGGCAUCCCACGACGAACCUGAUACAAGAUGACAUCUAGGCCAGCCAUCUGUAGCAAAGGAGUGUAGCGGUCGUCGUACUGCAGCGCCAAAAACCCAUCAUGGGCUCUAGAACGAAGGAGCAGAAGGACCUGCAUGCAAAUAAACCGAGUUAGACAUUUCUUAGGACACAAGACGUGGACGCUUGCAAAGCCUUAAUCAUGAAUUGUAGAUUAUUACCUGCCCUGCCGCUAUGAGACGACCUCGAUGGGUCUGGUCGUACGCCUGGUCUAGAAGGUGUAAGUGCGCCAUCCUAAAAAAGGCAAAAAGAAAUAAGAUUAGUAAACAAUAAAUCAUGAAGUUAGAGAUGUAGAAACACAACCUGUAUGAAUAAAACACAUAUCAAGUAACGAAAAGAGCUACUAGUCGCACCUCACUAAUCUGCCAACGACAAGUGCGUGAAUUAUGACCCAAUCUACCACACUUGCCGCACUCGUUCUGUUCUGGAUCAGCAAGAAAUGGUGUUGCUCUACCACGCCUCGUUCUUUCGGAUACCUGAUCCACAGUCAUGUUAUGCCUCGUCCGCUUCCUUGUUCCACGUUUGUUCCAACAGUAUGCAGGAUCCGCAACAUAUUUUGGCCCAUCAUACGGAGGCCACUCUCUAGGAUCCCGGAAAGGCACGAAGCGGGGGUUCCAUGUCUGCACAAGGGUGUCUACGCUGAACUCAUGAGGUAUCAUGCUCUCGAUAUAAAAAUUGCGAUGCCUAGCUGCUGCCACCAAAUGAGAACAUACGAAGUGGUACUGCCUUGGCCUACCACAAGUGCACUUGAAAUCUCAGAGAACUACCACAUGUAUCCUCGACUCUUGGAUCUCACCGUCUGACGUUGUACCGCCCCUACGCUCGACCUGAUAAGUCCCUGAGCCGAGAUCAAAACAUUGCACCUCAUGUGUGGAAGCCCUUUCAUUUGCAAUGAUGAGAUGUCUCUUUGGUUUUUCAGCCCAUCUCUCCCCAGCAAUCUGCAACGCUUCUGCUUUUGCAUGUCUUUCAUUGAACCACGCAACAAGCCUGUAGAAGGUGAAUUCAACGAUUGCGUUCACAGGCAUACCACGUAUCCCCAAUAACAACUUAUUGAAUGACUUGGCCAUGUUACUGCACUGAAACUCGUACCUCCAACCACCGGCGUCGUGAGAUCUAGUCCACUUAUCUAAAUCUCUCAUCAAACCAGCGAGCCAUUGUCUACCUUCUGCAUUUGUUGCGGUCCUUACCUGCUCCAAUUUGCGCUGAAAGUAAUAGUCCUCAAGUUGACGUGCUGCAACUUGAAACAGAUCAAAAUUAUCCUUCACACCAUCCUUCCAAAGAAGGUUCUCCGCAAGGUGCCGAGUGCACCAACGAUGAUGCAUUCCGAAGAAGGUUCUCCGCAAGGUGCCGAGUGCACCAACGAUGAUGCAAAGGUGCAUAAUCCUCUAUCUGUUCUUGCACAGCAUGAAGUAUGCCCUGAUGCCUAUCGGAUAUGACGCCAACCUCCCUACCAGGACCAACCACAUGUAUCCGGACUAGUCUUAAGAACCACCCCCAACUGUCAUUGUUCUCCCUCUCAACCAAUGCAAAUGCCAAAGGAACCAACAUAUUGUUCGCGUCACAAGAUAUGGCUAUAAGAAGUGUGCCUCUAUAUUUGCCAAUCAAAAACGUACCAUCAAUAGAGAAAACAGGACGACAGUGCCUAAAGGCUUCCACAGACUGAGGGAAGCACCAGAACGCACGCUCGAAUAUCUGCCUCCCGUCCUUCCAAGCAUUUGGCUUUGGGAUAUACUCAUAAUGCAUGCCUGGAUUCACCGCUUUAAUUGCAUUAAAAAGCACUGGCAGCUGCUCGUACCCAGACUCCCAAUCCCCAUAAAUCAUCCUCCACGCUCGCUGCUUAGCCCUCCAAGCUUUACCAUAAGUUAUCACAUAUCCUCCAUAAAUCUCCUCAACAGUUCUUAUAAUUGUUCUCACUUUCAUGUUGGGUUGUUCCUUCAAUAUUCCCAUCAACCGCUUCGCAAUGAGGGUAGAUGUUAGCUGCGGAUGUCUCACUGUAAGCUCAUGGUCAGCACAAUUGUGUGGACCGACAACUUUUGUGAUCUUCCACUUCCCAGUGAUAUUUUGCUUUCUUGUACAAACCCUCCAUGGACACCGUUCCUUGUCACACACAACUGUGUAACGGCGCUCCGCAUAUGAAUGCAACACUUUGUACGGUCUCUUCCGUAUCACCGCAAAAGCUUGCAACCAUCUCUUCAAUGCGGGAAGGUCCUUAAAUACCCUACCCUCCUCAAUAACCAUACUAGGACCAGCUUCAGGAGCUUCUAGGAGCUCAUCAUCACGUCCUUCUGCAAACGCCUGAUCGGAAAGAGUUAGGUCGCUAAACUCAUGAACUAUCGGAUCACGACGUCCAGGGAAUAUACGCCUGAACAUCUCAAUAUCACUCUCUGUCAUCUCUCCAACAGGAUGAUCAUCAUCAGAAUCAAGAUCCACUCCCAUCUCGUAUGCAUCUUCAUCAUUCAAAAUUUCAACACUAUUAGAGCCACGCAAUCCAUCUCCAUAUUGCACUUGCGCAUCAACUAGAGGCACAUCCACAUUUUCUGGAAUAUCUCCUGCGCCAUCAAGUACAAAUAUGAGUAAAGAAUAAGUGGAUGGAACGAAUGGAUUAUCUCUCAUCAAUAGAAACCGGUGAGACACUUACUCGGAUCAUUCUGAGUGAAAAGGAACUCAUUAGGAGAGUCCGUCACAUCAUCAACAAUCCGACAACCAUGUCCAACUACUUCAUUAGGGGCAGAUUCAGCAUCGGGAAUAGUAGGUGCAACAUCCACGUCCAUAACAGGUUCUGGGACGGGAGGAUCGAAAUGUGCCCGUUGACCCAUUGGUCGGGAAAACCGACGAGGAUUUCGAUCAACUCCCACCGGACGAACAACCACUUCAACACUUGGGGAAUGACCAUUCAUAACCGUCCUCACAUAUUUCUCCCACUGGCCUGCACACCAAAUUGGGACCAUCUUCCUUUGAAUGUUGAGAGGGGAACCUAGGUGAAGUAUGCCCUCGACUGUGAUUUCAUCAUUUUCAUGACAAUGUAACUCCUCCCGAGCCCUUGCAACCAACUCACUAAAAGAUGGUUUCUCAUCGAAUAUGACAACCUCGCACUGCAUGCCAACAAACUUAACACAUCCAUAUUCAUCCCUUUCCACAGUGCCUCCGUAAUAUAUGCUCACUAUGUUCUCCAUCUAGUAUAUCAAUAUAACGACGCACAAUUCAUUUAGUCCAUAAUAAAUUAAACAUUCUAAGUACAAGAUCUCUAGUAUGAAAUAAGAUAGUAUCAAUUGCCUACUAACUACCAAAUACAUCUAACUAACUGUGUCAUACAACUAACUAACUAUGCAACCUAAUAGUUAGUUAGGUACGUACCUAUACAACUACUUAACACAUAACUAGUUUACUAUGUAACUAACUGUACAUCUAACUACGUAAAGAAAAUUGGACAUGCAUCUAGUUAAAUAGUGUCAUGAGUAUCCUCUAAUUUUUCUAUCAUUGCAAUUCAUAAAGAUAAAUUUUCAUAUCUAACAAUUCUACCUACCUAUUCUAAUUUACGUAUCUAACUAUUUCAUCUACCAAUUCUACCUACCUAUCAAAAUUCUACCUAACAAUAUAAUUCUAAUUCAUCUAUCUAACUAUUUUAUCUAGUUAAAUAUAACUCUUCUUAGAGUUUUACCUCACCGGUGAACACCGGCGGCAAGGCGUGGGGGCGGGGGACCGGUCGUGGAUGACGCGGGCGACUGGCCGUGGGCCAUCGGCAGGGGCGGUCGCGGGCAAUGGCGGGCGCGGGGCGGCCUUGGGAGCCCGGGCGGGGGGCGCCGGGCCGGGUGGCUCCGGGCGCCGGCGGCCGCGGGCAAGGUCCCACCGGACGGGGGCAGGGGGGGCGCGGCCGCGGGGGCCCGGCCACGCGGGGGCACUGGCCGGGGCGGCUCCGGCCGCCGGCGGCCUUCGGCCGGCAACGGCCGCGGGGCCUUCAGGCGGGCGGGUGCCGGGCGGCCUUCGGCCGGGCGCGGCCGCGGGGCCUUCGGGCGGGCGGUCACUGGACCGGGGGGGCAGGGGGUGCGGCCGCGGGGAGCUUGGGGCCGGACGCGGGCGCGGGGACCUUCGGCCGAGCGGCCGCCGGGCGACGGGGCGCGCGUCUUCGGGCGGGCAGGCGGGCGCCAGGUGACGGGGCACGCGCCUUCGGGCGGGCGGGCGCCGGGCGAGGGCGGCGGCGACGGACUCCGAGGCGGCGGCGGCGGUGGAGGCGGUGGCGGCGGUAUCCGAGAGCGGCGGCGGCGCGAUUCAAAACGAGGACAAUGCAAACGGUCGCGCAAAAGGAAAGGGACCCCGGUACUUUGUUAAGAGGCUUGGCGCCAGGGAGGCUGGCGCCAAGAUCUAUGGCGCCAAGCCUCGGUGCCACGUCAGGGCCCUGGCGCGCCACAUCGGAGGCGCGAGUGGGGGACCUUGGCGCCAGGACGGCUGGCGCCAAGAUGUUAUACCUUGGUGCCAGCUGGCGCCAAGAUGAGGGUCCAUUUUCGGAAUUGGUUUCGCCAGGGGCCUAUUUGUGAGAUUUUUUCGCGAAAAGGGCCAAAAUACACAAAAGUCGGCUAUAUAUGACACAUCAAUCUCCCUCACAUUCUAGCUCAAAAUACCUCUCCAUUUUUCUACUUCAUCAUCACAUUCUAGCAAAUAAUCUUUCCAUCUCCAAAGCAUAAAUCAAAGCAUAACACGAGGAUGAAGUAGCAAACCUUCACAACACUUGUGUUGGCCGAGUGAAAUUCCCACGAAAAUGAGGGAAAAAACUUCGGGCAGCACCUCCCUUGCUUCGGCACCACCAGAGAGUAGGUGAAGCUCAGCUCUCUCUGUCAAUGUGCUGGACUGGCUCGGGCUGGAGGAGGAAGAAAGUCCUCUGUCUUGGCCGUAUAUAAUGGGGAUGAGUUUUUAUCCCGGUUAAAAACUCCAACCGAGACAAAAAGGAACACCUUUUGUCCCGGUUGAAUGGUUAGUCCCGGUUGGAAGCUCCAACUGGGACAAAAGGGACACCCUUUUAUCCCGGUUGGAAGCUCCAACCGAGACUAAACUUUUUAUCCCGGUUGGAACCUCCAACCGGGAUAAAAGGGUUCACCACCCUUUUAUCCCGGUUGGAGCCUCCAACCGGGAUAAAAGGGUGCCGCCACCGACAGCUCUCCACUAGCCGUUGCAACCGGGACUAAAGGGGGGCCUUUAGUCCCGGUUGCAAUUACCAACCGGGACUAACUCUCCCCUCCAUUUUUGCCUACCGUGGCGCACCCCCUUUUGUCCCGGGCCAACUUUAAACCGGGACAAAAGGGGACGCAUCGAAAGCCAAUUCUCUACUAGUGAUAUCUGCUGCAUCUCAAUACGAGCAAAGAGAUAUCUGUCAGUUUUGUUUCUAUAUUUUCCCAAUGGAAAUCACAAUCAUUUGAUUCCUGAUUCUAUCCACGUAGUGUAAUUGGGAAAAUUCCAUCAUGUAAUGUGGUUGAUUGUGAACCAGUGGAGCUAUUUUUUUUACCUGGUAACUCAAUUCUCACUUUAUAAAUCCCAGGCCAUAUUUUACUAGAAUAAAAAAUUUGAUAUGUCAAUUUUUCUUGCUGUUGUUACUGUAACUCUAUUAGCUUCGUAGCUAGCACUAGCAUAUUGUAAUUUUGCUGAUAAAUGACCUGCCGCUGUACUGGUGAAGGUUCAGUACCAUUCUGUUUGUUCGUUAACAUAUGCAAAGCUAGUUCAUUCCUUCUAAUUUUAUCUCACUACAAAUGCAGGAAAAGGUACCUCGGUUCGGGAAGCUUUCCAACCCACCAAACAUGAUCAGGAAGCUUUCUGACAGACUAGGCACACAAAGCGCGAUCUUGAAGUUUAUAGCAGAUGAUUUGUGUCAAAAACUUCUGUCCCA